rnacentral:rRNA from 1 species
AUGGCGAACAAUUUGGAACAUACAAGCGCGACAAUGCGGGAGUUUACACUCGAGUUAUUGAAACAAAUUACGGACAAUUUUUCUGAGGAACAUAUUAUUGGUCGUGGUGGGUAUGGAGUAGUUUACAAGGGAGUAUUGGACGAUGGAGAAGAGAUUGCUCUCAAAAAGCUUCAUCACAUUCCAGGUCUUGACGACGCGCAAUUCAGGAAUGAGUUCAAUCACCUAAUGAGGGUCCAACAUCCAAACAUUACCCGGCUAGUUGGCUACUGCUAUAAUCUAGGACAUCAACGCAUUAAGUGUGAUGAUGAAUAUAUUUUUGCCCAUGUGGAAGAAAGAGUUCUCUGCUUCGAAUACUUGCAGGGUGGAAGCCUUGACAGGCAUAUUUCGGAUGAAUCAUGUGGACUCGAUUGGCACACACGUUUCAAAAUUAUCAAGGGAGUCUGUGAGGGAUUAAAUUACCUUCAUAAUGGAUGCAAAGAUCCUAUUUACCACCUUGAUUUGAAACCUGCGAAUAUACUGCUGGACAAGAACAUGAUCCCAAAAAUUGGAGAUUUUGGUUUGUCAAGACUCUUCCCUUUGGCACAAACUUAUGUCACCAUUAAAAUUGUAGGAACACUUGGAUACAUGCCACCGGAAUACAUCGAGAGAUACCAAAUCACAUCGAAGUUCGACGUAUUCAGUUUGGGUGUUAUAAUCAUACGAAUAAUAGCAGGAGAUGAGGGGUACUCCAAAUGUGCAGAUAUGUCUUCGCCAGACUUUCGUGAGCAUGUACGUGAAAACUGGGAAAAACGAAUGGAGGCAACAAUGUCAUGGCAUACAUCAGAGCAAAUUGAGAUGUGCAUCGAGAUAGGAUUGAGAUGUGUGGAGCUCGACCGGGAGAGAAGGCCUACUAUAGCUGAGAUUGUCGAUGAACUGAACAAGGUUGAUAGUGCAGAAAGUUCACUUGCAGGCCAGGUCACCAAGAAGAAAAACUUGUACUCAGAGCGUCGAGGCAGAAUCGUUUUCUCAACCGCCUACAGGCCCCCAGUGCCAUUCGACAUAUUCGCCUGCCCCUUCUCACCUUCGUGCACUAAUGAAGAGCUCCACCUCACUGAUGGUGUGUCCUACAACUACAACGGCUGUUCCAUCCCUCCCGCCGCAUUGAAGACCCUCCUCAAGAACCCCAAGUUGGCAGAAGAGGACGGCACCACUGAUGCCGACGUUGAUGCGGGUCACGUCUCUGGUCUCAUCUUUGUCUCUGAGAGGAAUGACGGCCUAGAGAUACUCCACAUCGCUCUGCACUUUAAUGUGGACAGCAGGGUCAAGGUAUUCGCGCUGGCCGACAUCUUCGGCGCAGCCAACUUCAUUGGCCCGCGCCUGGAGGACAGUGGCUGCAUCGGCGGCGGAUAUAAUGUGGGGUCUCGCAUGGUUGGCCACUCUCUCAUAUACACCUCCACCAAGGAACCGGUGCAGCAAUGUCGCAGUCCCUGGACCGUCGUGUACAAAACCAACCUUUCAACAGGCAAGACCGAGCGCCUCACUCCACAAGGUGUCUUCGACUUGAGCCCCGCUGUGUCGCCGUCCGGGAAGAUGGUAGCAGUGGCGUCGUUUCAAAGCAAGAGUUGGAAUGGUGAGAUCGAGAACCUCAAGACCGACAUCUAUGUUAUGAACGUUGAUGGUGAGGACGGCCUGGGCCGGAAGCUACUCAUCAAGAACGGAGGCUGGCCAUCAUGGGGCAGCGACAACAUCAUCUUUUUCCACCGAGGCACCGAGAAGACCCUUCCCUUCAACAUGGUUGAAACGGCAUGGGGUGUUUUCCGGUACAAGAUCAGUACCGAGGAGACCAUGGAGGUGACUCCAAAAGAAUUGGACGCGGUGACUCCAGCGGCCAUCAGCGAGACCAAGGUAGCGGUGGCGACCAUCCGCCAGAAGUCCAGAUUUGACAACGUCCGCGUUGAGGUGCAAUACCGGCACAUCGAGAUUUUCGACACGAAUAAUGCGCCGGGGAUGCAGCCGGUGCAGAUCACUCAGAAGACGAGGCCAAAAACGGACCACUACAACCCCUUCGUGCGGGACAAUGGGGGGCGCAUUGGAUACCACCGGUGCAGGAGCGACCUCCUGCAGCACGGAGACCACAUCCCCUCGAACUUGCACAAGAUUGUCUCCCCGGUGAAGGAUGUCGGUUUGUAUCGGGUGUCUGGCUUGUCUCCGACCAUUUCCAAGGACGGCUCCAAGCUCGCCUUCGUCGACGGAGAGUUCAAGGCAGUGUGGGUGGCCGACCACCGAGGGCUGCGCAUCGUGUACGAUUACAGGGGCCCACACAGAGUCUUCUCCCCUGUGUGGAACCAGAACCCCGACAAGGACAUCCUCUAUGUCUGCAUUGGCACCUCCUUCAACGCCGACAAGACGCUGGAGAUCUACGCCAUUAACAAUGCAUCUGGUGACGUGGUGCAGCGGCAGAGACUCACCUAUGGCGGUUACAACAACGCGUUCCCAUCGAGCAGCCCAGACGGCAGCAAAUUCGUCUUCCGCUCGACAAGGGAUGGCGGUGUGAAGAAGUACAAAAAUCUCCACAUAAUGCUGGAAGCAGAAAACGGGCAAUCCGGGAUUGGUUGGGAGACGCGGCUGACCAAAGGACCAUGGACAGACACCCACUGCCAAUGGUCCCCGACAGGCGACUGGAUCGUCUUCUCGUCGACGCGCGGCAAGCCCCGGGACGCCGACGAGCUGGACAACGGCCUGGACCCGGGGUACUUCUCCGUGUAUCUGGUGAAGCCAAGCGACCCGAUGGUGGUGAUCAGGGUGAUGGACAGCAUGGGCGACCUCGGCGGUCACAUAAACCAUCCGGUGUUCAGCCCAGACGGGAGGAGCAUCGCCGUGACGGCAGACCUCGCGGCUGUGUCCGUGGACCCGAUCUCGCUGCCCAUGUUCAUGCACGCGGUGCGGCCCUAUGGCGACAUCUUCAUGAUCGACCUCGACACUGACAACUUGAAGAACAUAAACAACUUCAUCAAGGGGUUCCGCCGGAUCACGCACAGCAGGUACGAGUGCGGGACGCCGGCCUGGACGACAACCUUGAUGGCGACGGCGACCGACCUAGAUGCGCAGGCGCAGUGGAACAUGCUACCGAACACAACGUAUACACCGGCUUGUCCGUACGUGCACCUUUACGGGGGCGAGAGCUGGCACAUGACAGGCCACCUCUUCAUCCCCAAGAGGAGUUGCUGA